rnacentral:rRNA from 1 species
UUCAUGGAGAGAUUGAUCCUGGCUCAGGACGAACGCUGGCGGCGUGCCUAAUACAUGCCAGUCGA